UAAUGGGUCAGCGACUUAUAUUCUGUAGCAAGGUUAACCGAAUAGGGGAGCCGAAGGGAAACCGAGUCUUAACUGGGCGUUAAGUUGCAGGGUAUAGACCCGAAACCCGGUGAUCUAGCCAUGGGCAGGUUGAAGGUUGGGUAACACUAACUGGAGGACCGAACCGACUAAUGUUGAAAAAUUAGCGGAUGACUUGUGGCUGGGGGUGAAAGGCCAAUCAAACCGGGAGAUAGCUGGUUCUCCCCGAAAGCUAUUUAGGUAGCGCCUCGUGAAUUCAUCUCCGGGGGUAGAGCACUGUUUCGGCAAGGGGGUCAUCCCGACUUACCAACCCGAUGCAAACUGCGAAUACCGGAGAAUGUUAUCACGGGAGACACACGGCGGGUGCUAACGUCCGUCGUGAAGAGGGAAACAACCCAGACCGCCAGCUAAGGUCCCAAAGUCAUGGUUAAGUGGGAAACGAUGUGGGAAGGCCCAGACAGCCAGGAUGUUGGCUUAGAAGCAGCCAUCAUUUAAAGAAAGCGUAAUAGCUCACUGGUCGAGUCGGCCUGCGCGGAAGAUGUAACGGGGCUAAACCAUGCACCGAAGCUGCGGCAGCGACACUAUGUGUUGUUGGGUAGGGGAGCGUUCUGUAAGCCUGUGAAGGUGGCCUGUGAGGGUUGCUGGAGGUAUCAGAAGUGCGAAUGCUGACAUAAGUAACGAUAAAGCGGGUGAAAAGCCCGCUCGCCGGAAGACCAAGGGUUCCUGUCCAACGUUAAUCGGGGCAGGGUGAGUCG
rnacentral:rRNA from 1 species